AAUGCCGCGUGUGUGAAGAAGGCCUUCGGGUUGUAAAGCACUUUUGUCCGGAAAGAAAUCUUCUGCCCUAAUACGGCGGGAGGAUGACGGUACCGGAAGAAUAAGCACCGGCUAACUACGUGCCAGCAGCCGCGGUAAUACGUAGGGUGCGAGCGUUAAUCGGAAUUACUGGGCGUAAAGCGUGCGCAGGCGGUUCGCUAAGACCGAUGUGAAAUCCCCGGGCUUAACCUGGGAACUGCAUUGGUGACUGGCGGGCUAGAGUGUGGCAGAGGGGGGUAGAAUUCCACGUGUAGCAGUGAAAUGCGUAGAGAUGUGGAGGAAUACCGAUGGCGAAGGCAGCCCCCUGGGCCAACACUGACGCUCAUGCACGAAAGCGUGGGGAGCAAACAGGAUUAGAUACCCUGGUAGUCCACGCCCUAAACGAUGUCAACUAGUUGUUGGGGAUUCAUUUCCUUAGUAACGUAGCUAACGCGUGAAGUUGACCGCCUGGGGAGUACG
rnacentral:rRNA from 1 species